CAGAUUUCCAAUCCAAGUCCUGGAACUGUUGGCUGGAGGUGGCGCUGGUGCAGGCCCUCAGAAAACGUGGCGUCACGAGCCACCUGAUGUCAUGCACGCUGUCAGUGCAGCUUCCAGUCAGUGCUGUCAGAGACCUCCACCUGCUGGGCAAAGAGACAAAUGCGACAAGCUUGUAGCAGGUUUGACAGCCUUGGAUUCGUCACUGGACCAGGAGCAGCUUGGCCUGUUGGUGCUGAUGAUGCUCAGUGUUGC